GGGGAUAUGGCGAAAUUGGUAGACGCUACGGACUUAAAAAAUCCGUCGAUUUCAAAAAUCAUGAGG
rnacentral:tRNA from 3 species